GCACUGCUGAGGAGUCCCAUACCAGGACGAAACGUCCGUUCAGUGC
rfam:Schistosoma haematobium scaffold592_11, whole genome shotgun sequence.